GGCUGAAGGUUCACUAGCACUAAGAGUAAACUGUGACGGCAGAAUAGAUUUAUUUCAUUCACUUCGCUCUUUCAUUUCAUCGCAAAAUAAUGCGGGUCGUUGUUUUUCGGUGUAUCUCCGUCAUCAGUGUCGUUGUAUAUUUGGAGACAUCUAAACAUAAUGGGGGCGGCGGCAGUUUUGUCACGGCGGAAAAACCAGGUCAACAAGGUCAAGUGACGACCUACAAUAUUGCCGACAUUUAUGGGGAAGACCUGAUGAAGGAACUGGAGCCUGAAGGGUGGCAAGAAUACGGUGCUCGAAAGUUGGCCAAAGGGAGAGAAAAACUUGGCGGAUUCGCAAAUACAGGCCUCAAAUGGUUUAGGAAUAACGAUAAAGUUAAAAAAGUGUUGAAUUCUAACGUGGUGCAGACAGUCAAAGGGGUCGGGAACCAAGCGGUCGAAAAAACAAAAGAAGGUAUCAAUAGGAUUCUCCCCAGUUCAGACGACGAAUCCUCAGGUCAAGAGGAGGAACGUGGACGCAGACAUAAACGAGGACAUGACGACCGUGAUAGAAGUCGAGAUCAUGGCAAACAUCGAGAUCAUAGCAAACAUCGAGACAAUGGCAAACAUCGAGAUCAUGGCAACCAUCGCCACCAUCAUCACCAUCACCACCAUCGUAACACAGAGGGAAAAACGAAAGCAGAGGACUAUCAAGGAGCGUGCGUUAAGCACUGUGCGAACAUUUACGGCUUUUUGUUCGAAUCUCAUUCGGAGGACGGAGUUCCGAGAUUCUCUGCCGGAGCUGUUUAUCCCAUCACACGGGGCAAGGCCGAAUUGAAGGAGCAUAUCAAAUCAGAUACCCAAGAGCGGAGCUCCACUUAUGAGUGCGAUUGUAGGCCGACGAGCGAUUUCGAAUUGAUGGUCAAAACAGCGUUUCCGGAAGUCCCGGACUUGUUGGCUAACUUCAAAAAACAGCAAGUCUCCGAUCCCCUCGGAGCAACCGCUUCCGCGCGUCGAAUUUUCGAAAAAUUGAACUGGGAUUGGAAAGAGUUACAAAAAAAGCAGGGAGCUAAGCAGUUCAACAGAUACUUCUAUACUGAUCAUAAGCAUCUGCUUCAGUUGAUAUUUCAGGAAAUGAUACAAUAUUCGGAGAUUCCCGCGAAAGCGCAGGCAUCGUAA
rnacentral:lncRNA from 1 species